AAAACGCGAAAAGUGUUGUGAUGUGCAGUCUUUGAGAAUGAUGAGUAUUUGAACGCACCUUGCACCAUGCUGUAGCAAUACACGUGGUAUGCCUGUUUGAGCAGGGGAAAGGAAAUGAACAGGAGUACGGAGUAUGAGUACGAUGUUCGGAAUGGAGCGUUAGGUAAGUGGAGUGUGUACGAUGCAAAUCUACACACCCACACACACCUUGCUCUGGAAAAUAGCUGGUGGGCGUGAUGAAAGAAUCGAGCUUGCAUUGUUCUUGGGAUAAUCCCAGCAAGAACAGCAACUUCCUUUUCACACACACCCACCCAACACACCACUACAUUAUCCUCUCAAAUCAGGCAAGAUGACCCGCUGAACUUAA
rnacentral:misc_RNA from 1 species